rnacentral:rRNA from 1 species
AGCAGCCGCGGUAAUUCCAGCUCCAAUAGCGUAUAUUAAAGUUGUUGCAGUUAAAAAGCUCGUAGUUGAAUUUCGAGAUCGGUUUAUUGGUCGUGCUAUUGUACGUACUGGUAUUACCGGUUUCUCCUUUCUGACGAACCUUAAUGCCAUUAAUUUGGUGUUUUGGGAAAUCAGGACUGUUACUUUGAAAAAAUUAGAGUGUUUAAAGCAGGCUCACGCUUGAAUACAUUAGCAUGGAAUAACGGAAUAGGACGUUUGAUUCUAUUUUGUUGGUUUCUAGGAUCGACGUAAUGAUUAAUAGGGAUAGUUGGGGGCAUUAGUAUUCAAUUGUCAGAGGUGAAAUUCUUGGAUUUAUUGAAGACUAACUACUGCGAAGGCAUUUGCCAAGGAUGUUUUCAUUAAUCAAGAACGAAAGUUAGGGGAUCGAAGACGAUCAGAUACCGUCGUAGUCUUAACCAUAAACUAUGCCGACUAGGGAUCGGAUGAUGUUAAUUUUUUAAUGACUCAUUCGGCGCCUUACGGGAACCAAAGUGUUUGGGUUCG